rnacentral:lncRNA from 1 species
UUUGAAAAUACAUCAACCAUAGAGAAUAGAGCUUUAAUUCCUCUUUCUGAACAACAAUAAGGAACAGUUGACAUAAAAAACAAAAGCAUGGAUAAAACAAUAUAAAACAGAUAUUGUACCACAGAGUGGAAUUCAAAUCAUCCAAGAACAUUAGCAGCACUUCUACAAAUAUAUUAAAAGCUAUAGUGCUUGUUAAGCUCAAUAGAGCAACUCCCAGAGACCAAAAUGGCAUCAACAGAUAAAAGCAGCAAUUCGGUGUAGGGCAACAUAAAAGUCUAAUGCCAGGACAUCAGAUACAUUCAUAACCCUGCUGUGGAGAGGUAAUCCCUGUCCAGGAUUUGGCUUUUCAAUCCUUUCUCUUCCUCAGCACUGCAGCCACACCUAUUCUCAAAACUUCCAGGUAUUUUAAACAUCUUGUGCAUAGUUUAAAUUUUAGCAUUGAUUUAUUAAAAACUAAAGUAAUUCUUUAAAUCAUAAUCGAGCCGCCGACCCUCGGUGCGGCAGCGGCUCCGGAGGCACCACAGCCUGACACGGAGCAGGGGCUGGGACCUGCAGCUCCAUCCCCGGGCUCCCCGCUCGGUCCCCAUGUGCAAAACUCAUUUCAAAAGGGAAGUUAUUAAAGUACUGAACGGGAAUUUAAGGUUGAAUAUGCUUAUCACUAAUCUAAAAUUAGACACAUUAACAGACUGCUAUGGCUAUUCCAGCAACGCACAUUCUCCAGGAAAUUCGGGAUUCGGACAAAGCUUAGAACAAAUCUGAACACUCCAAACCACGGAAACGGCACCAGAACAGCUUAACUCAGCCCUCACUGCCAGCACCACACACAAAGGGGGUGUCAGUGGGACCACAAAGACUUCAGGUGCCUUCAUCAGUGAUAAUGUGCUUACUUCAGGGCAAGCACCGAGGAUCAUGACCUUGAGAAGAGGAUCAUUGGGGUGCCUGAAAGCGCAGGCAGCAGGAAGCGGCAUUUUAUCUGCUCUGGGGUGUCUGGAAACUGGUUCUGGUGAGUUACAACCCUUCGGUCCCGCUGGAGAAGUGUCACUUCAUCCGCAGGUUGUGCUCUUUCACUACCAAUUUGUGCUCAGGCGAUUGUAAAAUGCUGAAACCCCCUCCCCAGGACUGCUCGGCCCACGUGGGAAUUCCCAAAUGGAGUGAAAAUGUUGGACAGAUGUUGGAUGAAAUGCCAACCAUCUCAGCCCUCCUGACACACAGGCUCUGAACAGCAAUGCCACAGGAGAGAGCAGAGAUCUAAGACAUUAGAAGAGAUUAUUAAAAGCAAAUUUAGGUGAUGAGGAUCCUAAAUUGGUUUCGCACCUAUUUUGAGGACUGUCACCACAGCGGCUCCCAGUGCAGAGGAUUAAAUAGCUACUCCCAGUAAAUGAGGAGAGAAAGGAAAACCAGCCAGCUGGAUUCAAAUAAGAAAUAAAUACACGAGAAAGAAGAAGAACCUCAUCCCAUAAACUGCUCUUGGCCACACGGCUGGUGUCUCUGAGGUGGGGAUUUGGGAUGGGCUCAGCUUGCCCACGGAUGGGUUGUGGCAGAACCGCAAUUCCAAGCUACCACGUCAAGAAUGUCACUUCCCUUGAUCUGGUUUUAUCUUCGCAGUGAUGGAAAGGUCCAUGUGGGUAUGUGAAGGGAUGUUAAAACCAUAAGAGGCUGGGUGAGAGCAGAACAGGGUAGCAGCAAAAAGUCCCCAUGCAAAAAGCCCUCUCAGUCUUCAUGAAUCACACUGAUAGCAAAGCGCUUCAGAGACCCAACACAGUGAGAGAAAAACUCCUGCAAAACCCACACAUUCAGGAACAAAGACAACUUCUAAAGGGUUUACAUGAGUAACACUGAAAGGGAUGGGUACCAAGAGUUAUUUGGUAGGUUGCAUCAGCAGAAAGCUCAAAUGCAGAAAGGGAAUCCAUUAGUAACUCCCUCGGGGAACACGGGGCUGGGACAUUCACUGUAUUUAAAGAUACCGAGAUGACUGAGAGCUGAGCAGCACAUAAAGUGAAUCCCUCAUGCCUCUGAGGAUGCUCAGCAUGGGUGCAAUGUGAGUUGAGCAUCUCAGCCCAUGUCCAUCCUUCACUCCCGCUCGGUCUGGAGCCACCUGGAGCAGGGAAUACGGGCUGGGACAAGCGGGAUACUGUGCCCUGGGGCAGGAUGCAGCAGUCUCAAGCCAGAAGGGGCAGCAGCUCCAAGUCCCUGGUCCCAUAGACCAGGCUAAAGAUAGUCCCAGCCUGAAGUGCCAUUGCAGGGGGUGGAUUUCAGCAGCACGGAGCCGCUGGGAUGAGACAUUCCUCUCCCCAAGGAGCCAGACAAGAUGACUGUAUAUGGGCAAGAAUUCCCCUGCCAUGGGCUUCUCCCGCCGUGGUAAACACGAUCCUGUGGCGGCACAGCUGGGAGAUCUGCGAGUCCCACAGGACCACGGGAUCCUCACUGUCAGGAGCCCACAAUAGUGCUUUAUCCCAGCAGAGGGGCAGAGCAGGACAGGAGAAGUGCUACAAGCAGCUGCACAAUGAGAACCUUUGCUUAAAUUUAGCAGGAUUUAACCAUCAAACAGACAUGGAGCCCCAGGCUCCUGGUGCUGCUUCACUGGGGUAUCCACAGGCACCUAAAGCUGUGGCUGGCAAGGAGCAGAGCUGCCACCCUGCCACUGCGGAUCUGAUGAUCAAACCGAGCUGGGACCACGCGAGGAGAGGGGCUGGGGAAGGGCAGAGCACAGGGACUACCACAGCCUGUUCCUGCCCUGCCUGCUCCUGUGCGGGCAGCACGGCCAGGGCCCGGCAGGGUGGGCAGGGGGAGCCAUCCACCACUGCAGGGCAUGGAAACGGCUCACGUCUUCCCCUCAGGCCUGCACAGAGCUGCACCUCCGAGCCCAGACUCGAGCUCUCACAGGAGCACGGGGGAGCAGAUGGUUUUCACUGACUUGUGUAGGAACUGGAGCAGAGCAGUGCAUUUGGGCACUGCCUUCAGCCAGGAGAGCAGAUCAACUCCCCAAGCAUUACAUGAUCAAGUAUGGAUCACGUAAUACUCCUUUCCUAACCAGAGGUAUGAUCAGCUGUGAAGCAGAAUGACUUUACUCCCACGUUAAAUGACAUACCGUAUUCUUUGGACUAUCCAAUUUCUUUGCAACCCACACCAAGCCUGGACCCUGCAACUGUCCUUGCACAAGCUAAUCCCAGGGCUGGCACAGAACCCGUUCGAGCAGAGGUCUGCUCUGUGGAACUCAGCACUACAGCUCGAACAAAGCCUUUGCUAAUGCUUUUUCCUCUUUUCUUACUUCUUUUCCAGUUUUAAGGUCAGAACUAAACCCAAGCCAAGCUGAGGUCGUGAUGGUGGUUCUGCUCUGAGCUUCCUGUUGCUGUACC